rnacentral:lncRNA from 1 species
CCCUUACCUCUCAUAGCUCCCACCAGAGUGAGUGAGCUCAGAUGCUUAUGGAAGGCUUGCCCCAAGACUUGAAACUGCACUCCCUUCAACUGGACCUGGCUGGGCUCUUCUGGGAAGGACUGAACGAUCACUCUGGCUCCCAUAUCCCUGGAUCCUAGCAUCUUCUCACUCAUGGAAUACAAACAGUGCUGCAGAUUACCUGAAAU